AGUGAACGCUGGCGGUAGGCCUAACACAUGCAAGUCGAACGGCAGCACAGUAAGAGCUUGCUCUUACGGGUGGCGAGUGGCGGACGGGUGAGGAAUACAUCGGAAUCUACUUUUUCGGGGGGGAUAACGUAGGGAAACUUACGCUAAUACCGCAUACGCCCUACGGGGGAAGGCAGGGGAUCUUCGGACCUUGCGCGGUUGAAUGAGCCGAUGUCGGAUUAGCUAGUUGGGGGGGUAAAGGCCCACCAAGGCGACGAUCCGUAGCUGGUCUGAGAGGAGGAUCAGCCACACUGGAACUGAGACACGGUCCAUACUACUACGGUAGGCAGCAGUGGGGAAUAUUGGACAAUGGGCGCAAGCCUGACCCAGCCAUACCGAGUGGGUGAAGAAGGCCUUCGGGUUGUAAAGCCCUUUUGUUGGGAAAGAAAAGCAGCAGGUUAAUACCCCGCUGUUCUGACGGUACCCAAAGAAUAAGCACCGGCUAACUUCGUG
rnacentral:rRNA from 1 species